ACAUAUAUUAAAUUUGGGACCAUCCAACGGUCCCAACCUAUCGAACCCGGAUAACGCACAAUAUGCGAUUAUCCGUUCGAUAGUCAAACGACGUCCGAAUUGAGAUCCGCGAAAUCCUACGCACUCGUGACAACCUAAGGAUCUCAUCGGAAUAUAGUGCUACUUUUUCCACAGUGCCCACGCGCAGCCGCACGCGCCGGUAGCGCGUGGUGC
rnacentral:lncRNA from 1 species